UGCCACAGCCAUAUCACCCUACAGCCCUAGAGUGGUUACUCACUGUUUGAAGCUAAUCAGGUUUGAGCCUGGUCAGUACCUGGAUGGGAGACCACAUGAGACAACUAGGUUGCUGUUGGAA
ensembl:rRNA 5S_rRNA 5S ribosomal RNA